rnacentral:lncRNA from 1 species
AAAUGUGGCUGUUCAUAUUCUGUCUCUUCAUCUUCACCCCCUAUAAAUGUUUCGCAUUUUUCAUCCUCUAUCUUCAUCUCUUCAUUUUCUUAUUCGAAACCAAUUUGCUGCCAUUUCUUGGCAUUCUGACGAUCAACCUGAUCCAAAAAUGGACUGUUUAGUCCAUCCGCCUUAUAUUUACCUUGAUGUCACCUUUGGUAUGGGAGGUAUAGGAAAUAUUUUCUGGCCAGCAGCGAAGUUCUUUCCUGCAAAAUUCUUCC